rnacentral:misc_RNA from 1 species
GGACACGUCAGAGGAUUUAAAGAAGCAUCAGAAAGAUUACAGUUCGAAUUUAAUUUUUUUCAAAAAUAAAAAAUACUUCCUCAUGUCAAACCCACAUAUCCCCAGUUCUACUUCAGGAAAUAAAAAAUGCCACUUUCUGAUUGUGCUCUGUUGAUAAUCCUAGAUACAAAACCUACACAUUCCCAGUUCUACUUCACUUCAAGCUUAUCCAUCUGCAUGAAAUAGAAUUUGGGAGAUCACCAAUGGCAAUUAACACUCUCUCCACAUCACCGUAUGUUCCCUGAUAUAUUGCAGUAAUGAACAAGAUCAAAAACCUUCUUAUGUAUAGGAAGUUCUCCUUUCUUUAUCAAACUGCAAUCAUGAAGGGCCUGACAACAGUCCCGCAAAACCCUUGGACAAACAACCUUCAACAGCGCAGGGAGAUGCAGAAUGAUUUAAUGGGCUAUUUGCUUUAACCAUUUCCGAGUAACCAUGUGACUGGUUUUCUGUCCAGUCAACAUUUUGGUUGCCAAAAUUAACGUGCCUCCUCUUCGAAUUGAC